rnacentral:rRNA from 1 species
AGAGUUUGAUCCUGGCUCAGGAUGAACGCUGGCGGCAUGCCUAAUACAUGCAAGUCGAACGAGAGGAAGGAAAGCUUGCUUUCCUAAAUCUAGUGGCGAACGGGUGAGUAACACGUAGGUAACCUGCCCAUGUGCCCGGGAUAACUUCUGGAAACGGAUGCUAAAACCGGAUAGGUAGCAGACAAGCAUUUGACUGCUAUUAAAGUGGCUAAGGCCAUGAACAUGGAUGGACCUGCGGUGCAUUAGCUAGUUGGUGAGGUAACGGCCCACCAAGGCGACGAUGCAUAGCCGGCCUGAGAGGGCGGACGGCCACAUUGGGACUGAGACACGGCCCAAACUCCUACGGGAGGCAGCAGUAGGGAAUUUUCGUCAAUGGGGGGAACCCUGAACGAGCAAUGCCGCGUGAGUGAGGAAGGUCUUCGGAUCGUAAAGCUCUGUUGUAAGAGAAAAACGGCACUCAUAGGGAAUGAUGAGUGAGUGAUGGUAUCUUACCAGAAAGUCACGGCUAACUACGUGCCAGCAGCCGCGGUAAUACGUAGGUGGCGAGCGUUAUCCGGAAUGAUUGGGCGUAAAGGGUGCGUAGGUGGCAGAUCAAGUCUGGAGUAAAAGGUAUGGGCUCAACCCGUACUUGCUCUGGAAACUGAUCAGCUAGAGAACAGAAGAGGACGGCGGAACUCCAUGUGUAGCGGUAAAAUGCGUAGAUAUAUGGAAGAACACCGGUGGCGAAGGCGGCCGUCUGGUCUGGAUUCUGACACUGAAGCACGAAAGCGUGGGGAGCAAAUAGGAUUAGAUACCCUAGUAGUCCACGCCGUAAACGAUGAGAACUAGGUGUUGGGGGAAUAACUCAGUGCCGCAGUUAACGCAAUAAGUUCUCCGCCUGGGGAGUAUGCACGCAAGUGUGAAACUCAAAGGAAUUGACGGGGGCCCGCACAAGCGGUGGAGUAUGUGGUUUAAUUCGAAGCAACGCGAAGAACCUUACCAGGCCUUGACAUCCCUUGCAGAGGUAUAGAGAUAUAUCCGAGGUUAUCAAGGAGACAGGUGGUGCAUGGUUGUCGUCAGCUCGUGUCGUGAGAUGUUGGGUUAAGU